rnacentral:snoRNA from 1 species
CUCCUCUCAGGAUGGCACUUGGAGAAUUUCCAGUACUCUACCAGUCUCGGCUAUGGAAGGGAGAGUCAAGCAGAGGCAUACCCAUUCCAUUCCUAGCUUGGGCCGUGGCUAGCGAGUGGAAGGUAAUCCGCUACAAGU